CAAAAGGCUCUUUUAAGAGCCACCUACUAUGCAGAAACAGCUGUAA
rfam:Heterocephalus glaber contig179875, whole genome shotgun sequence.